rnacentral:rRNA from 1 species
AUCUGGAGCCCUUCCACCCUGGCUUGAUCUUGGAAGCUAAGCAGGGUAGGCUAGAAGUUGGAUGGGAGACUGCCUGGGAAAACUGGGUGCUCAAAAAC